UACGAAGGGGGCUAGCGUUGUUCGGCAUCACUGGGCGUAAAGCGCACGCAGGCGGAUCGAUAAGUCGGGGGUGAAAGCCCGGGGCUCAACCUCGGAAUUGCCUUCGAUACUGGCGGUCUCGAGUCCGGGAGAGGUGAGUGGAAUUCCUAGUGGAGAGGUGAAAUUCGUAGAUAUUAGGAAGAACACCAGUGGCGAAGGCGGCUCACUGGCCCGGUACUGACGCUCAGGUGCGAAAGCGUGGGGAGCAAACAGG
rnacentral:rRNA from 1 species